AGCUCUGUGAUUAUAUGCCCGAUUUGGGCUAUAUACGCUAUUCUGAUUCAUAACAUGAGCAGAAAUCUGAGAAAUGAGAGCU